AAUAUAUGUAUUUGUUGCCUUUCAGACGUCACGUUUGACCAUCCGUCUUAUUUAAAAAUUUUGUGAAUAUAUUAUUUAUUUUGUUAUGAUUUGUUUUAUCAUUAGGUAUACUUCAAGUAUGACUUAUUUGUUUUUAUAUUUUAUAAAAUUUUUGAAUAAGACAGAUAGUCAAACGUGAUGUGUGAAAACCAAUAAUUACUUAUAUU
rnacentral:pre_miRNA from 1 species